GCUUGCUCCCUGAAGUCAGCGGCGGACGGGUGAGUAACACGUGGGCAACCUGCCUGUAAGACUGGGAUAACUCCGGGAAACCGGGGCUAAUACCGGAUAACUCUUUUCCUCACAUGAGGAAAAGCUGAAAGAUGGUUUCGGCUAUCACUUACAGAUGGGCCCGCGGCGCAUUAGCUAGUUGGUGAGGUAACGGCUCACCAAGGCCACGAUGCGUAGCCGACCUGAGAGGGUGAUCGGCCACACUGGGACUGAGACACGGCCCAGACUCCUACGGGAGGCAGCAGUAGGGAAUCUUCCGCAAUGGACGAAAGUCUGACGGAGCAACGCCGCGUGAGUGAUGAAGGUUUUCGGAUCGUAAAACUCUGUUGUCAGGGAAGAACAAGUACCGGAGUAACUGCCGGUACCUUGACGGUACCUGACCAGAAAGCCACGGCUAACUACGUGCCAGCAGCCGCGGUAAUACGUAGGUGGCAAGCGUUGUCCGGAAUUAUUGGGCGUAAAGCGCGCGCAGGCGGUUCCUUAAGUCUGAUGUGAAAGCCCCCGGCUCAACCGGGGAGGGUCAUUGGAAACUGGGGAACUUGAGUGCAGAAGAGAAGAGUGGAAUUCCACGUGUAGCGGUGAAAUGCGUAGAGAUGUGGAGGAACACCAGUGGCGA
rnacentral:rRNA from 2 species